AUGCUUUGCUUAAUUAUCUUGUUUCACACUUUGUGGUGUGUCAAUUUAAAAGUGAAGCUAUAAAGAUUGUUCCUCUCGCUAUCCUUUGCUUCUUUUGUGGUGUAAUUGGACGUUGGGGAACUACAUUA
rfam:Capsicum annuum cultivar Zunla-1 chromosome 4, whole genome shotgun sequence